rnacentral:rRNA from 1 species
GAUGAACGCUGGCGGCGUGCCUAAUACAUGCAAGUCGAGCGAACAGACGAGGAUCUUUCUCCUCUGACGUUAGCGGCGGACGGGUGAUUAACACGUGUAUAACCUACCUAUAAGACUUGGAUAACUUCGGGAAACCUUAUCUAAUACCGGAUAAUAUAUUGAACCUCAUGGUUCAUUAGUCCUAGACGUUUUUGCUGUCACUUUUACAUUUUUCCGCGCCGCAUUAGUUAGUUGGUAAGGUAACGGCUUACCAAGGCUACGAUGCGUAGCGGACCUGAGAGGGUGAUCGGCCACACUGGAACGGAGACACGGUCCAGACUCCUACGGGAGGAAGCAGUAGGGAAUAUUGCGCAAUGGGCGAAAGCCUGACGGAGCAACGCCGAGUGAGUGAAGAAGGUCUUCGGAUCGUAAAACUCUGUUAUUAGGGAAGAAGAAAAGUGUAAGAAAAUAUGCACGUGUUGACGGUACCAAAAGAGAAAGCCACGGCUAACUACGUG